rnacentral:rRNA from 1 species
UACGUAGGUGGCAAGCGUUGUCCGGAUUUACUGGGCGUAAAGAGCGCGCAGGCGGUCGUUCAAGUCGUGUGUGAAAGCCCCCGGCUCAACUGGGGAGGGUCACGCGAUACUGAUCGACUCGAAGGCAGGAGAGGGAAGUGGAAUUCCCGGUGUAGUGGUGGAAUGCGUAGAGAUCGGGAGGAACACCAGUGGCGAAGGCGACUGCCUGGACCGUGGCUGACGCUGAGGCGCGAAAGCGUGGGGAGCGAUCCGG